rnacentral:rRNA from 1 species
UACGAAGGGGGCUAGCGUUGCUCGGAAUUACUGGGCGUAAAGCGCACGUAGGCGGCUUUCUAAGUCGGGGGUGAAAUCCUGGAGCUCAACUCCAGAACUGCCUUCGAUACUGGAAAGCUCGAGUCCGGGAGAGGUGAGUGGAAUUCCCAGUGUAGCGGUGAAAUGCGUAGAUAUUGGGAGGAACACCAGUGGCGAAGGCGGCUCACUGGACCGGAACUGACGCUGAGGCGCGAAAGCCAGGGGAGCAAACGGG